GAUGAACGCUAGCGGCAGGCUUAAUACAUGCAAGUCGUGGGGCAGCAUGAGUGUAGCAAUACAUUUGAUGGCGACCGGCAAACGGGUGCGGAACACGUACACAACCUUCCUAUAAGUGGGGAAUAGCCCAGAGAAAUUUGGAUUAAUACCCCGUAACAUAAUGAUGUGGCAUCACAUUAUUAUUAUAGCUUCGGCGCUUAUUGAUGGGUGUGCGGCGGAUUAGAUAGUCGGCGGGGUAACGGCCCACCAAGUCUACGAUCAGUAGCUGAUGUGAGAGCAUGAUCAGCCACACGGGCACUAAGACACGGGCCCGACUCCUACGGGAGGCAGCAGUAAGGAAUAUUGGUCAAUGGACGCAAGUCUGAACCAGCCAUGCCGCGUGAAGGAUUAAGGUCCUCUGGAUUGUAAACUUCUUUUAUCUGGGACGAAAAAAGGCGAUUCUUCGUCACUUGACGGUACCAGAUGAAUAAGCACCGGCUAACUCCGUGCCAGCAGCCGCCGUAAAAC
rnacentral:rRNA from 1 species